AUUCCAGCUCCAAUAGCGUAUAUUAUUGUUGUUGCAGUUAAAAAGCUCGUAGUUGGAUUUCUGAUGGGAUCGACCCGGUCGGCUCCGAAAGGGGACGCACUGGUGGUCUGUCCGGUCAUCCUCGAGGGGAGGCUUUCUGGCAUUCAUUUGUUGGGGAGUCGACGCUCGUCGUUUACUGUGAAUAAAUUAGAGUGUUCAAAGCAGGCUUAGGCCGUUGAAUACAUUAGCAUGGAAUAAUAAGAUAGGACUUUGGUAGUUUAUUUUGUUGGUUUGCACGCCGAAGUAAUGAUUAAUAGGAGCAGUUGGGGUUGUCCGUAUUCGACUAUCAGAGGUGAAAUUCUUGGAUUUAUUGAAGACGAACUACUGCGAAAGCAUUCAUCAAGGAUAUUUUCAUUA
rnacentral:rRNA from 1 species